GCAGCAAAGCAUCACUAGUACUCCGUGCCGUGUGAAUAUGUCAACAUGAUCAGAGGGGAGGGAGCAGGCGGCACCGGGCCGGGCGGCCGGGAGCCGCCUCUAGGGGGGGUUCUCGGGGCCGCCUCGCCCCCCGCCCGGCCCCUCCGUGCCCGGAUUGCGGCCCCGGCCCUGGCGAGAUGGCAGCUGGGCGCUGCCGGCGCUCGAUGGGAGGAGUGCGGCCGCUCGGCUGGCCCCGGAGCCGAGAGGGUUAACGCUCCCACACCCCUCCUCUUCCAUGAGGUGCACGGGGAGGAGACGGGAAGUGCGGCUUUCCCCGCGGCCGGGCCGCGGUGCGGGGCAGCGGCGGGCGGGGGGCCCAGGCCCGAUCCCCCCUCUCGAUCCCUCUCCCCGCGGGGCAGCCCCACGCGUGGGUUCCCGUCUGCCCCGAUCCGCCUGCCGAGUUUCUGGGGAAACGUGUUCCCGGGGCGGGGAGUGGGGGGUGGGUGACAGUGCGGGGCCAGCGAGUCGGGGCUCGUGCGAGUGUCGGCGUGUGCGGGGAGUGCGCGUCCGUGGGCGCGCGUCUGCGGGUGGUCGUGAGUGUCGGGUGGGGGCGUGGGUGCGCAGGACACGCGCGUUUCGGGAGGUGCCAGGAGGUGCCUGAUCUCCCCGCUCCCAACGUCGUGCCUUAAAAGAGGGGUUGAUAAUCCUACGGGAGGGGAGCGGGGAGAGCUGCCUGCGCGCAGAUGGGAGCGGAACCUCUAAAGUGAUUAGCUCUUCUAGCAUUGCAUUUUUGACGCACAUGGUUAAGAGCGCUUGGCGCCAGCUUGGUGAAGUCCCUGUAGUAACCAGCGUCUAGGAUCGCUUUGCAUUCACCAAAAUAUCUCCCCUUCGGUCGGGGGUGGGGGUGGAAAGGAGAAGGGAGGAGGAGGGAGGAAAGGAAGCGGGAGUAAUGCAUUCAAAGAAGAUGUAGGGAAAAGACAAGGGCGGGGGUGGGGGGGGAAGCGUGAUGUAUUUCAAGGAACCGAGAGCUUAGCUGCCCGCGCAGCGCUCGCCUCGGCUGCUGAGCGGAGGGAGCGAGAAUUCUCGAGCGCUCUGCUCGGAACCAGGGCCUGGGCUCCUGCCUGCAGUCGCAACGGGAACCCCGGAACCUUCCCUUUGCGGAACCCACAACAAACGCCCGAAUAAGCUGUUGUAUGUUGGCGGAACGGCUCGGAGAAACUUGGCCGCAAUUUGCCCCAAGCAGGCCUCAGCUGUCUGCCAGGGACCGGGAGGUGCCCUCGGGCUCUCGCAGGACAAGCGCAGCCGCUCCCAGAGCCGCCUCGCCCCGCUCCCCGCGCCCGCCCCGCCGGUACGCGCCCUCGGGGCCGCGGUGGAGGCCGGAGCCGUUGGUGCCCUCCGCGCCCGCCCCGCACUUUGCGCAGAGCUCGGCGGCCCGCGGAGGGAAAUGAAGCGUUCGCUGCUUAUGAUUUCCAAUGUCAGCGUCUGGCUGAUGGCGUGCAAACUUCCGCCAGUUCCGAGUGACCUCCCCGACGAAGCCCCCUGGAGACUCGUAUUAUGAAGGGAGGCUGCACUAAUCUAAGAUCAAAAGCGGGAAGGUGCGAACAGUCUUUGUCUCCCUUCGACCGCCUCGUUCCCCCUCCUGUGUGUGAUAAAUCUACCCUGGCGCCGACUGCGUGCUGGAUGAUUAAUUUGCAAGCAAACAAAAGGGGACCUGAUGGCCAGCCAUCUUAGUUAAAUAUUGGCCAGUGGUUCCAGCUACUUGUUAGCCGCCUCUUUCCCAGAAAUAAAUAAAUAAGCAACGCGCGGAAAUAAAUAAAUAAGGAAGCCAGCAAAAAAGAAGAGCGAGAGGGGAGGAAAGAGAGCAAGGAAAAAAAAAAAAAAAAAAAAAAAAAGAUCAGAGAGAAGGGCCGGGAGCAGAGCGGAGGUGGGAACGGGGCUGUGGCGGGGGGAGGCCGGGUGAUAGCACGCCGAGAUAGCCGCCUGCCCCCGGCCCGUCUGCAGGCCGCGCUGCGCCAAGGCCGACACUAUCUUGGCGCUUCAAAGAGCUCUGAAAGGUCCCCGCUGGCUCCCCGGCCCGCGGCUCUCUAAUCUCGGAGCGCAGGAGCCAAAGGCCGGGGCGGGGGGAGCGGCUCGUCGGGUCCGCAGCACCCCUGGCCACUUCCCGAGCCAGAAACAUCGCUGCUUUUUCCCUGGUUCAAUGCAGGCCGGAGGGAAAGCAGAGCAGUCCUGGUUGCUGAGCGGCUGCGAGAGCUCCGCUCGCUCAGAUUUCGCCCUCCUAAGCAACUUUUUAGCGUUUGCACGAGGGAUCGGGGCGUGCGGUAAGCCUCUCCCGGUAGCCCGAAGAGCCAGCUGGAGGGAGAAGGCAGGAGGAAAAGAAUGGCAGCGCGACUGCGGAGCCCACACAUCCUCUCCCAAGCCUGUGGGAGCCACUCCGAGGCGUGUGUGCGUGCUAUGAGCACUGUAUGCGUGCAGGGAGGCUCCGUGGGUGUGCGCGCCCCGGGGAGGGGGGGCCGUGAGCUGAGUGCACCGCAAAUCCGUGAUCCAGCAGCGAAAGCCGGGGAGUCUCCUUGCACCCCUGCGUGCAGGGCUGACAAAGGUGCUCGUGGGUGCUGUGCAGGAGGGAGCGGGGCCAGCACGCACUGCAGCCCCACACACCGCACCGCUGGGACUUCCGUCCUCUCGAUGCGUUUCCCUGUGGCACUGCAGGUCCGAGCAUCCCUCUCCUCCCAGGCACCUCCAUCUCCUCCAGCCGCAACCUCCGCCCGGCCCCCAGCCCUCGGAAAGCAACACGCAGCCGCGGCCGGUCUAUGUUUAUCCCAAAUAAAAUGCAGCGGGCUCGUUUACUUUGGCAGCUUUGCCGUAAAUACUCGGGGGGCGGCGAUGACGCGCAGAUUCUGAGCGCUGUUCCUCCAGAGAAAGGUGUCAGGAGCCGGGGCCGGUGCUGGCGCUGCUCCGUCCCAGAGUGGCACUGCAGGCCUCGGGCACAAUGAAAUGGGUCCCUAUAGGGCGAGUCUGUACAUUCAGACCUCAUGAACUGCUGCGGGGGAGGGAAGGGGGUCACCGCGGCAGCUCCUUGCCUUCCCUUCCGCAGAGCUCUUCCUGCAGUCACCGGCUGAAUUUUAGCUAAAGCCUGACCUGAACGCUUUGCAAAAUAACCUGCCCGGGUCCAGAGGAGUAUGGUAAGGGAUUAGAAAUACAAACUGGAAAAAAAAAAAAAACGACAACAAUAAAAUACAAUCCGAUGCACAUUUCUCUUUGGCCAGGCCACCGGUCCUCUUUCCUGGGACUUACAGGACUGGACAGAGCUGGAGAUACUUUUACAUACACCUCCUCGGGGCACCAGAAAAAAACACAAGUGAAGAGAGUGGCUGGAGAAAGGUUCUCAUCCUCCAGCCGUGUCCGGGGUGUGUCCCUGCAGGAAAGGCUGCAGUGUCCCGGCACGGCCCAGCACAGCAUGGCACGGCCCGGCCCGGAUCGGCACACGGCCUGGCUCCUGUUCACGGCCAAAUCAACAGCCAGCAGGGACACCAGGGUGCUGUAUAAUUUUGGAGCCCUCCCAAACACCGUAACUACUCACAUCCCUGCAGCAAGACCCGCUGUCACUUGGUCCCCAUCUCCAAACAGCUCAGGCGCUCUCCAGCCCCAUCCAUUUUACCUCGGAUGAGAGAAGAAAACCAGAGGGCACUCAGAGGCGAAUCCCCACCCCAGAGCACCCCCUCACCUUCGAGCCCGGGCUGCCCUUUCCCCCAGCCUUGAUCCUGCAGUAUGCUCUUAGAGGAGGUGCAAUUAAAGCCCUGCUCCCUCUCCCUCCCCUCCCCUCCGAUCUUUCUGCUUCCACCACCGCUGGCUAAGCAGAAAUUCUAAAUAGAGUUCGCUAUUUGGAUAAAGAUUUUUUAUUUUUUUUUUAAUAAGCAGGCAUACACAUACAGUUUGCCGCUCAGGAAGUAGAACUAAUUGUCGUUUCCUACAGUCAAACAGAUCUAUCUUUUCAAUGCUGUCUUUGUGUGUCUGCAUGCGAGAGAGAAAGAGGGAACGAGUGGAUACGUUUAUUCAAUUAUUUAAACGCACAAACAACAAAACAACAAUCCCGAGGAGGGACGAGCCUUCCCGAAGGAGCCCUCCAGCUCUCCAGAUGCGGCAUUCCCCCCUCACCCCCGCCCGCUCCCUGCAGACCCAGUAGAACAAGGCACCCGGCGAGAGAAACCGAUUUUAUCUGCUUUGACCAUCGGCCGUGUUCUUUAACAACUCAGCCCCGGCGCUGGAACCUUGCCCACCUCCCCCGGGGUCUCAUCCGACCCUCCGCCCCUCGGUCACCCCCGAGGCACCGGCGGGCGCCGGCUGCAGAGGAGCACGGAGGGAAACCGGGAGCCUCCGGCACCGGCGCUGCCACACUUCGCUCCCAUUUUCUUCGAGAUGCCACGGAGCCACCAGGCGAUCGAUUGAUACCUCGGCCCGGGGGAGAAAGGGAGGGAGGGGGGGUGGGAGAACCAGCUGUUGCAAAAGGACAUGGUAAAUCUAAUAGGGGCUACUGUCAAUAGAGAAAUGACAGAGAAGAAGAAUUGGCUUCUUAAAGUCUGCUGAACUAACACUCAUCAUGUAGCCGCGGACACGUAUUCUCAAUCGGAUCCUGGUAUCCAUUACUAUUUUCCUUACUAGGUUUCAAUUAAAGAGAGAUCUAACCCCUCUUCCCUCUCCCUCCCCCCCCACUUCCCCGCACGCCCCCCAGCAGGAGAUAAAUGACAGAAGAGGGGAGGCAUCGGACACGUCCUGUCUGCACGCCACGUUUGUCACCAAAGCCGAGCUGCCGCCGUGCCCCAGCCAAUUCCCCCGGCCGGCCAGGGCUCGCUCCCUGCGGUGAUCGCGGUGCAACGGCCCCAAGAGUCGCUCUUCUCGCCGUCUAAUUCCGCUCCUCAUGUUCCUUUUUCUCUUUUCCCAUUUUGUUUAACCCCUCUCGUCUCCUGACGGACGGAGAAGCUCCGAGCGGGGCGGCUGCGGGUGGCUGCUCUCGCAGGGGACCUUCGGGGUGACACCGCCGCAGUAACCGCAUGUCACUUGUUCCCUCUCGAGUGACGUUAAAAGCGCAAACUUCGCGGCACCGAAAACACACACACACAAAACAAUUUAAAAAUCUGCCGAUUUUCUACGGGAGGAGGGAAGAGCUUCAUUUAUUUUCAGUGCCCAACUGAGGGGCUUUGGAGGCACUUGGAAACAGUUUUUCUUCCUCUGUCUGACCCCAGGUAGCCCCGAAGCCUCAGCACAUCCAUCAGGGGGCUGCAAAAGGCACCGAAAUGCGCCAGCCCAGCCCUGGGAAACUUAGAGAUGGCAGAGAAUUUCCCCGCACAACUUAGUCACUGCGGCCAGCCUAAAGAUCUCAGUGCUGCCAGAGGACAAAUCCCUGGGGCCAGCAGCCCGAUCCCAGCACCUCGCUGCCUUCGGGGCUUCGGGCAGUCCCACUGGCAGCCCAGUCGCUUCUGCACGUCGGGGAAAAGCUCAUUUCUCUGCAGACACAGGGAUGGGACCCAGCGAAACCCUCCGGAGAUGUUCUCUGUGAGGAGCAGAACGAGCUGGGAACGUUUUUUAUAAAAGGGCUCUUCUCCGUCUUUAGGGCUUGGGAAGUUUUUUGUAGCUCCGUUUUAUUUCAGUUUAGAAUUUUGAACAAACUUUGGAUUGAUUUCCGGAAGGCGCAAAUGCUCACACAUGGGAAAAGUGAAUAAACCGGUCCUUCGAGGUCACCUGGGAGGGGGAGACGAGAUCUGUACCCCCUUCCAAAAUAAAAUAAAAUAAAAGUAACAGGAGGGGAAAGAUCUCAUGCUUUUGUAGUUUAAAACU